AUGAUGACCACCACGAUCUCACGCAGACAACGUGGCCCAACUAGUCGUCAUUAUUUCACAGAAUACAUUAAUGCAUUCAAUGUAAUGUAAUAAUACAAAAAAUAAAAUUACGUUGGACAGCAGCACUCAAACUUUAGCCAACCCACCAACCUGCCAAAAUGUGGAAGGGACUACAGAUAUUUCGCUGGACUGGACAAUGCCAAAGGCUGCUGAAAAUGAAUGAUUUGUGCAUGCACGAUAUUUACAGCAGCAGCUCUCAGCUUCAUACUUUUUAUUACAACCCACAAUUGCUUACAUUACAUUACAUAGUACGUAAAGUGGUGGUCUGCUGGUGUGAUGAGGGCCUUGUUCAUCCUCCAUUCCAUCCACCAACUCUCGGCCGGCAUUCAAUACAAAGUCCACCACAAACACAUUUCAAAGGCAAGUAACCAACACAAUAGAAAAUUCAUACACGUUUUUAUAACAAUUUCAGUCCUACGCCCGCAGUCCAGCCAGCUUCGCCAUCAUUUCAUGAUCAUCAUCAUCCUUGCGCUCUACACAAAUCUGAGACUUUUUGCUCGUCGUCUAUCUGCCUACAAUCAUGGUCAAGAUGUAUCCUUAAUGAUGCAUGUGAUUCAGUUUUAUAUUACGAAAUGCAAUAAGAGCCGCCCUCUGAGCUACCGAAUUUUCUCAUGUUUCAAGGCUCCAUUCCACCAAGGCCUCCUUUCGUGCAAGCAAAAUACUUAAUUCCUACAUACAUGCCUCGUCGAGAUGAAGCACGUACCUGUACUUGAGAAAAAAAAGAAGACCUCUACCUGGACAGCGGGUUUGCUUUUAGUUGCCUUGCUUGCAUGCAAUAUUUGACUUUGCGCAUUUAAACCCUAAUUACACAAGAGGUGGAAUUUAACUAAAACAAUGUCCAGUCCAGGUUCAGGGCUGGGCUAAAAAGUUUGCUUACUUAAUGUAAUAAUUCACCUUCAAAAAAGCCAACCUCCACUUCAUCCUCCUAUUCCAGACUCUCAAACCUAACCAAACCAUCGCUGGUUCCGUCAGUCAGACUUAAGUCACGUCGAAAAAUCUGCUGCUUGUGAAUAGAUUAUUAUUACUUUAGAGUAGAGGAGCUACUACUUCACUUCAGCGUGUUAUGUUGUACUUGUACAUGAAAUGAAUUGACGACCAAAUAAAAAUUCCCAUAAUAUUCAAAUUCAACAAGCAACCAUUUUGGAUUAUUUAAUGUUUGUACUACUGUGUACCUUAAUCCAACCCGGCCGAAAUUAAAU